rnacentral:tRNA from 1 species
GCGGCUAUGGCGGAAUUGGCAGACGCGCCGGCUUCAGGUGCCGGUCCGAGCAAUUGGGUGGAGGUUCAAGUCCUCUUAGCCGCACCA